GACGAACGCUGGCGGCGUGCUUAACACAUGCAAGUCGAACGGAAAGGCCUGCUUUCCCUUGUGGAUUGCGGGUACUCGAGUGGCGAACGGGUGAGUAACACGUGAGUGAUCUGCCCCAAACUUGGGUAUAAGCCUGGGAAACUGGGUCUAAUUCCCGAUAGGACUGCAGGGUGGUGCCUGUGGUGGAAAACGAUUUUCUAGUGGUUGGGGAUGAGCUCGCGGCCUAUCAGCUUGUUGGUGGGGUAAUGGCCUACCAAGGCGGCGACGGGUAGCCGGCCUGAGAGGGUGGACGGCCACAUUGGGACUGAGAUACGGCCCAGACUCCUACGGGAGGCAGCAGUGGGGAAUAUUGCACAAUGGGCGGAAGCCUGAUGCAGCGACGCCGCGUGGGGGAUGACGGCCUUCGGGUGGUAAACUCCUUUCGACCGCGAGGAAGCCACCUGGUUGGAAGGGUGGUGACGGUAGUGGUAGAAGAAGCACCGGCUAACUACGUG
rnacentral:rRNA from 1 species